UCUCCCCCCCCCCCCCUCUCUCUCUCUCCAUUCUCACAAAAUAACCGCAGAGAUAUCAUCAAAACCCUAAUCGGCGAUUCCCUAUCUUAGCAACCUUAACCGGCGAUUCCUUUCUUCACUGUUUCAAUCGAUCGUUUGCAAAGAGGUUCAGUUGAUUAGGAUUGAUAUCAGAUUGCCUGCCUGAAUAUGGCUGGACAACUCAAAAGGUUUUCCACCUUAUGAAUUUCAUUGUAAAUGGAGUGCGUGCGGUUGUUUUUGGAUUUCAUAUGCAAGUGUUCCAUUUGCAUCCCAAGGUUUUCAUUUGGGCGCUUCUAGAAGUUCCGGGGUUACUUUUCUUUUCAACGUAUACUCAGGCAAG